GUGCUCCUACGGGGGGCAGCAGUGAGGAAUAUUGGUCAAUGGGCGCGAGCCUGAACCAGCCAAGUCGCGUGAGGGAAGACGGUCCUAUGGAUUGUAAACCUCUUUUGUCGGGGAGCAAAAGACGCCACGCGUGGCGUUCCGAGAGUACCCGAAGAAAAAGCAUCGGCUAACUCCGUGCCAGCAGCCGCGGUAAUACGGAGGAUGCGAGCGUUAUCCGGAUUUAUUGGGUUUAAAGGGUGCGCAGGCGGAAGGUCAAGUCAGCGGUAAAAUUGAGAGGCUCAACCUCGUAGAUCCGUUUAAACUGG
rnacentral:rRNA from 1 species